rnacentral:rRNA from 1 species
AACCAGCACCUCAAGUGGUCAGGAUGAUUAUUGGGCCUAAAGCAUCCGUAGCCGGCUCUGUAAGUUUUCGGUUAAAUCUGUACGCUCAACGUACAGGCUGCCGGGAAUACUGCAGAGCUAGGGAGUGGGAGAGGUAGACGGUACUCGGUAGGAAGGGGUAAAAUCCUUUGAUCUAUUGAUGACCACCUGUGGCGAAGGCGGUCUACCAGAACACGUCCGACGGUGAGGGAUGAAAGCUGGGGGGAGCAAACCG